rnacentral:rRNA from 1 species
GUAGGGAGCGAGCGUUGUCCGGAUUUACUGGGUGUAAAGGGUGCGUAGGCGGCUUGGCAAGUCAGUUGUGAAAACUAUGGGCUCAACCCAUAGCCUGCAAUUGAAACUGUUGAGCUUGAGUGAAGUAGAGGUAGGUGGAAUUCCCGGUGUAGCGGUGAAAUGCGUAGAGAUCGGGAGGAACACCAGUGGCGAAGGCGACCUACUGGGCUUUAACUGACGCUGAGGCACGAAAGCAUGGGUAGCAAACAGGAUUAGAUACCCUGGUAGUCCAUGCCGUAAACGAUGAUUACUAGGUGUGGGGGGUCUGACCCCCUCCGUGCCGGAGUUAACACAAUAAGUAAUCCACCUGGGGAGUACGACCGCAAGGUUGAAACUCAAAGGAAUUGACGGGGGCCCGCACAAGCAGUGGAGUAUGUGGUUUAAUUCGAAGCAACGCGAAGAACCUUACCAGGUCUUGACAUCCAGCUAACGAAGCAGAGAUGCAUUAGGUGCCCUUCGGGGAAAGCUGAGACAGGUGGUGCAUGGUUGUCGUCAGCUCGUGUCGUGAGAUGUUGGGUUAAGUCCCGCAACGAGCGCAACCCUUACUGUUAGUUGCUACGCAAGAGCACUCUAGCAGGACUGCCGUUGACAAAACGGAGGAAGGUGGGGACGACGUCAAAUCAUCAUGCCCCUUAUGACCUGGGCUACACACGUACUACAAUGGCCAUUAACAAAGAGAAGCGAAACCGCGAGGUGGAGCAAACCUAUAAAAAUGGUCUCAGUUCGGAUUGUAGGCUGAAACCCGCCUGCAUGAAGUUGGAAUUGCUAGUAAUCGCGGAUCAUAAUGCCGCGGUGAAUACGUUCCCGGGCCUUGUACACACCGCCCGUCUCUCCAUGGGAGCCGGUAAUACCCGAAGUCAGUUUGCCUAACCGCAAGGAGGGCGC